AGAACGAACGCUGGCGGCAGGCUUAACACAUGCAAGUCGAACGCGUGUAGCAAUACACGAGUGGCGCACGGGUGAGUAACGCGUGGAUAUCUGCCUUUUGGUUCGGAAUAACCCCGGGAAACUGGGGCUAAUACCGGAUGGUUCCUACGGGAUAAAGAUUUAUCGCCAAAAGAUGAGUCCGCGUCCGAUUAGCUAGUUGGUGGGGUAAUGGCCUACCAAGGCGACGAUCGGUAGCUGGUCUGAGAGGACGAUCAGCCACACUGGGACUGAGACACGGCCCAGACUCCUACGGGAGGCAGCAGUGGGGAAUAUUGGACAAUGGGGGCAACCCUGAUCCAGCCAUGCCGCGUGAGUGAUGAAGGCCUUCGGGUUGUAAAGCUCUUUUGGCGGGACGAUGAUGACGGUACCCGCAGAAUAGCCCCGGCUAACUUCGUGCCAGCAGCCGC
rnacentral:rRNA from 1 species